rnacentral:piRNA from 1 species
UGCCAGUUGUCUGGGAACUACAGCAAAUGGU